UACGGGGGGGGCAAGCGUUGUUCGGAAUUACUGGGCGUAAAGGGCUCGUAGGCGGCCAACUAAGUCGGACGUGAAAUCCCCAGGCUCAACCUGGGAACUGCGUCUGAUACUGGAUGGCUUGAAUCCGGGAGAGGGAUGCAGAAUUCCAGGUGUAGCGGUGAAAUGCGUAGAUAUCUGGAGGAAUACCAAUGGCGAAGGCAGCUCUCUGGGACGGUACUGACGCUGAGACGCGAAAGCGUGGGGAGCGAACAGG
rnacentral:rRNA from 1 species